rfam:Ovis aries breed Texel chromosome 11, whole genome shotgun sequence.
UCCCUGGUGGCUCAGACAGUAAAGAGUCUGCCUGCAAUGCAGGAUACCCGGGUUCGAUCCCUGGGUUGGGAA